AAUGUUAUGAGUGCCCAUACGAUGUCUUCAAGCCGGUUACUGUAAAAAAUCACCUGUAGACAAAUUGAGGUUUCCCUGAAGAAAAUAAUCAAUGGAGGUCAAAUCUGGAGAAGCUAGGCUCCAGCAAAAGCAUUUUUUGUUUGGGACCUGUGAGUAUGAGUUUCUAUCGGCCAAUGUGGAUUCUGAUUGAGAUUCAAUGAACAAAUUGUUAUUUUAUUCCCAUUUUUGUAUCACAACUUCGCAAAAUUCCAAUGUAGAAUCGAAAUAAUGUAAAAGAAGACUGUGUAGUUAUUUAAUUCCAUAGUACACUGCUUCUUUUGAAAAGACAUAGCAUAAUGCUGCAACUUGAGUGUUAUUUUCAAAUUUUCUCUAAUAAUAUACGAAUCUUGAUAUAAGACUUGUUAUUUUGCAUCAUUACUUUGUAAUUCAAUAGUGCACAGCUUCUUUUAAACAGACAGACAAACUAUUUAAUAGCUCAAGUUUCAAUCAAGUAUCCAGGGAAUUUUCGAUUAUCCAACAUGAAGGAAGCAAAAAAUGUAGAUCAUAGGUACAAUAUCAACUGUAUUUGGCAUUGCGGCUUUCAAUUCUUGUUAAUUGUAUUCCACUAGAGUUUUUUUCAAAAUUUUGAAAACUUGAUUGAAAACUUUUUCUAUUUUUCCGUUUUAGCAUCAUAAAUUUGUACAAUUCCAAUUUAUAAUCGAAAUAGUCUAAAAGAAAACUGUGUAAUGAUACAAUUCCAUGGUUCACACAUUCUUUUGAAAAGACAGGACAUAAUCCUGCAACUUGCGUGUCAUUUUCAAAUUUUUGUAUCAAUUUGUGAAUCCUGAUUGAAAACUUGUUAUUUUCUCUUAAAUAAAUUCUUGAUUCAUAUUAA